rnacentral:rRNA from 1 species
AUGCAGCAUGGGACGGAGACGAGGAUGGAAGUGGACACGCAUAGCAUCAAAGCUACACACACAGACACAGCCGACAGGAUGAGGAUCCACUCACCCGCUCUGCUCGUCCUCCUCCUCUGCUCUCUCCUCGCCGGCGCGGCCAACGCCGAGCCCUCUCCGGAACCAACGUACAAGGACUGCCACCCAGGCGACAAGGCGGCGCUGCUCGCCGUCAAGGCCGCCUUCGGGGAGGCCUAUGACUUCGCGUCCUGGAAGCCCGACAACCCCUGCUGCGACUGGUAG